rnacentral:rRNA from 1 species
GGAAUCUUGGGCAAUGGGGGAAACCCUGACCCAGCAACGCCGCGUGAGGGAUGAAGGCCUUCGGGUCGUAAACCUCUGUCGGGAGGGAAGAACCGUCUCGAGUCGAACAGGCUCGGGGCCUGCUGGUACCUCCAAAGGAAGCACCGGCUAACUCCGUGCCAGCAGCCGCGGUAAUACGGAGGGUGCAAGCGUUGUUCGGAAUCAUUGGGCGUAAAGCGAGUGUAGGCGGCUUGGCAAGUCGGGUGUGAAAGCCCGGGGCUCAACCCCGGAAUUGCAUUCGAAACUGCCUCGCUAGAGUCCCGGAGAGGAAGGCAGAAUUCCCGGUGUAGAGGUGAAAUUCGUAGAUAUCGGGAGGAAUACCAGUGGCGAAGGCGGCCUUCUGGACGGCGACUGACGCUGAGACGCGAAAGCGUGGGGAGCAAAC